ACAAACUUUAAUAGCAAUAAAGAACUUACAUAUGUACAGUUAGCAAUUUUACAAGCUUUCUUUAAAAAAUAUAUCCGGAACAUUCGUGAAUCACAUCCUCUCAGAUCAAGUUUCCUUCAAAGCAAACAACCCGUUGUUAUGUGUCAAAUUUUCUCGAUGCCUUGAAACGUUCUACUCGCUCCGAAUUUACUCCAAACUCCCCUAGGCCGGCUUGUAACAAUAUGUACGAUUCUUAAAAUUAGACGUUUUUGUUUCACAUCGGCGUAUAACAAAAACUGAUUUUUCGUCCGAGAUUGUUAUUACUACAUGCGUAAACAGAUGUGUAUAUAAGAGAAUAAAUGAGUGAGAUAUAGAUGAGUAUGAUGAGUCAGUCGGAAGAAAACAAUAACAUUGGAAAGACAAAAAAGAGGACAUUCUACAGAAUAUGUGUCUAACGAAUCGUUAGUAAUUCAUAUAUUAUAUUCUAUACAUAUUGGUGAUACUAAUUGAAUACUACUCAUGACAUCUGCCACAUUCAAAAUAUGCGUAAUAUGUAAUAAAGAUGAGAACCGAAGGAUAAUGUAUAUAUAAAAGAUUCAGACAUAAAUAUGUAUAUUGAAUAUAUAUUGAAUUAAUUUGAACUCCCAAAAUAAUCAUCGAUUUUGACUUCAUGCAGUUUCUUUCAUUGUAUAGGACAAUCAUUUUUCAGUAAUCGUAUAAAUUCCUUUAAAAUUAUCAACAGCUGAAUUUAUUUGAUCCUAUUCAACAUAUAAAAAGAUUAUCAUAUCAAAUUCAUUUCGAAAUAAUGCUGUCUAAUUAUGUCUUAUUUUUAUUAUUAGAUGAUGAUGUGUUACAUUUGAUAGAAAUAAUAUAAGUACUUAGUGUUUGAUAUCAAUGUUAUAUUUUAUAUUUGCUGGAUUACAAAUGAAUAAGAAGUGAUCAUUCAAAACAUGAAAAUAAGCUCUUGAUCUUUACAAUUGGAUAACAAUAGAGAGCAAAAAACUUAUGAAGUAAAUCUUUGCAAUACAAUGCAUAGAUUUCAAGCAGAUAUGUUUGUAUCAUUACACUAUUCCAAAUUAAAAAAAUAAUGCAUUUAACAGAUAGAUUUUUCUAGUCCUUUUCUGCUGAAUUUUUGACUGAUAUAGACUCUUAUGAGACAUAAGGAUGCUACAGUGCUUAUCUCCGUAGAAUGAGAUUUCAUUGAUCAGAAG